AGUGAACGCUGGCGGUAGGCCUAACACAUGCGAGUCGAACGGCAGCACAGUAAGAGCUUGCUCUUACGGGUGGCGAGUGGCGGACGGGUGAGGAAUACAUCGGAAUCUACUUUUUCGUGGGGGAUAACGUAGGGAAACUUACGCUAAUACCGCAUACGACCUACGGGUGAAAGCAGGGGAUCUUCGGACCUUGCGCGAUUGAAUGAGCCGAUGUCGGAUUAGCUAGUUGGCGGGGUAAAGGCCCACCAAGGCGACGAUCCGUAGCUGGUCUGAGAGGAUGAUCAGCCAACCUGAACUGAGACACGGUCCAGACUCCUACGGGAGGCAGCAGUGGGGAAUAUUGGACAAUGGGCGCAAGCCUGAUCCAGCCAUACCGCGUGGGUGAAGAAGGCCUUCGGGUUGUAAAGCCCUUUUGUUGGGAAAGAAAAGCAGCAGGUUAAUACCCCGCUGUUCUGACGGUACCCAAAGAAUAAGCACCGGCUAACUUCGUG
rnacentral:rRNA from 1 species